GAUGAACGCUGGCGGCGUGCCUAAUACAUGCAAGUCGAGCGAACGGACGAGAAGCUUGCUUUUCUGAUGUUAGCGGCGGACGGGUGAGUAACACGUGGAUAACCUACCUAUAAGACUGGGAUAACUUCGGGAAACCGGAGCUAAUACCGGAUAAUAUUUUGAACCGCAUGGUUCAAAAGUGAAAGACGGGCUUGCUGUCACUUAUAGAUGGAUCCGCGCUGCAUUAGCUAGGUGGUAAGGUAACGGCUUACCAAGGCAACGAUGCAUAGCCGACCUGAGAGAGUGAUCGGCCACACUGGAAGUGAGAGACGGUCCAGACUCCUACGGGAGGAAGCAGUAGGGAAUCUUCCGCAAUGGGCGAAAGCCUGACGGAGCAACGCCGCGUGGGUGAUGAAGGUCUUCGGAUCGUAAAACUCUGUUAUUAGGGAAGAACAUAUGUGUAAGUAACUGUGCACAUCUUGACGGUACCUAAUCAGAAAGCAACGGCUAACUCCGUG
rnacentral:rRNA from 1 species